rnacentral:rRNA from 1 species
UACGUAGGCGGCAAGCGUUGUCCGGAUUUACUGGGCGUAAAGGGCGUGCAGGCGGUUUGUUAAGUUCAGGGUGAAAGCUCCCGGCUCAACUGGGAGAGGUCCUUAGAUACUGGCAGACUUGAGGAGGGUAGAGGAGAGUGGAAUUCCCGGUGUAGUGGUGAUAUGCGUAGAUAUCGGGAGGAACACCAGUGGCGAAGGCGGCUCUCUGGGCCCUACCUGACGCUGAGACGCGAAAGCGUGGGGAGCGAACCGG